rnacentral:rRNA from 1 species
UACGUAGGGGGGCAAGCGUUGUCCGGAUUUAUUGGGCGUAAAGAGCGUGUAGGCGGUUUGGUAGGUCCGCUGUGAAAACUCGAGGCUCAACCUCGAGACGCCGGUGGAAACCAUCAGGCUAGAGUCCGGAAGAGGCGAGUGGAAUUCCUGGUGUAGCGGUGAAAUGCGCAGAUAUCAGGAGGAACACCAAUGGCGAAGGCAGCUCGCUGGGACGGUACUGACGCUGAGACGCGAAAGCGUGGGGAGCAAACAGG